UAAAAAGGCACAACCUUAGACUAAAGGAC
rnacentral:piRNA from 1 species